GACGAACGCUGGCGGCGUGCUUAACACAUGCAAGUCGAACGGAAAGGCCCUGCUUUUGUGGGGUGCUCGAGUGGCGAACGGGUGAGUAACACGUGAGUAACCUGCCCUUGACUUUGGGAUAACUUCAGGAAACUGGGGCUAAUACCGGAUAGGAGCUCCUGCUGCAUGGUGGGGGUUGGAAAGUUUCGGCGGUUGGGGAUGGACUCGCGGCUUAUUAGCUUGUUGGUGGGGUAGUGGCUUACCAAGGCUUUGACGGGUAGCCGGCCUGAGAGGGUGACCGGCCACAUUGGGACUGGGAUACGGCCCAGACUCCUACGGGAGGCAGCAGUGGGGAAUAUUGCACAAUGGGCGGAAGCCUGAUGCAGCAACGCCGCGUGCGGGAUGACGGCCUUCGGGUUGUAAACCGCUUUCGCCUGUGACGAAGCGUGAGGGACGGUAAUGGGUAAAGAAGCACCGGCUAACUACGU
rnacentral:rRNA from 1 species